CCAAUAGCGUAUAUUAAAGUUGUUGCAGUUAAAAAGCUCGUAGUUGAAUUUCGGGGUCAGUAGGUUGGUCAUGCCACUGGUAUGUACUGGUCUCACUGAUUCCUCCUUCCUGAUGAACUGUAAUGCCAUUAAUUUGGUGUUGCAGGGAAUCUGGACUGUUACUUUGAAAAAAUUAGAGUGUUUAAAGCAGGCUAACGCCUGAAUACAUUAGCAUGGAAUAAUGAAAUAGGACGUUCGAUCCUAUUUUGUUGGUUUCUAGGAUUGACGUAAUGAUUAAUAGGGAUAGUUGGGGGCAUUAGUAUUCAAUUGUCAGAGGUGAAAUUCUUGGAUUUAUUGAAGACUAACUACUGCGAAAGCAUUUGCCAAGGAUGUUUUCAUUAAUCAAGAACAAAAGUUAGGGGAUCGAAGACGAUCAGAUACCGUCGUAGUCUUAACCAUAAACUAUGCCGACUAGGGAUCGGAUGAUGUUAAUUUUUUAAUGACUCAUUCGGCGCCUUACA
rnacentral:rRNA from 1 species